rnacentral:rRNA from 1 species
UACGUAGGGUGCGAGCGUUGUCCGGAAUUAUUGGGCGUAAAGAGCUCGUAGGCGGUUUGUCGCGUCGACUGUGAAAACCUACAGCUUAACUGUGGGCUUGCAGUCGAUACGGGCAGACUUGAGUUCGGUAGGGGAGACUGGAAUUCCUGGUGUAGCGGUGAAAUGCGCAGAUAUCGGGAGGAACACCGGUGGCGAAGGCGGUUCUCUGGGCCUGUACUGACGCUGAGGAGCGAAAGCGUGGGGAGCGAACAGG